rnacentral:rRNA from 1 species
UAAUGUAUGGGGAUCUGCCCGAUAGAGGGGAAUAACUACUGGAAACGGUGGCUAAUACCGCAUAAUGUCUACGGACCAAAGCAGGGGCUCUUCGGACCUUGCACUAUCGGAUGAACCCAUAUGGGAUUAGCUAGUGGUGGGGUAAAGGCUCACCUAGGCGACGAUCUCUAGCUGGUCUGAGAGGAUGAUCAGCCACACUGGGACUGAGACACGGCCCAG